CUGGCGGCAUGCUACCAUGCAGUCGAGCGGCUGAAUGAGAUCGUUCUCUUAUUAAGCGGCGGACGGGUGAGUAAUGUAUAGGAACGUGCCCGGUAGUGGGGGAGACUUCUCGAAAGGAAAGCUAAUACCGCAUACGUCCUACGGGAGAAAGCGGGGGAUCGUAAGACCUUGCCCUAUUGGAUGGGCCUAUGUCGGAUUACCUAGUUGGUGGGGUAAAGGCUCACCAAGGCGACGAUCCGUAGCUGGUUUGAGAGGACGAUCAGCCACACUGGAACUGAGACACGGCCCAGACUCCUACGGGAGGCAGCAGUGGGGAAUUUUGGACAAUGGGGGAAACCCUGAUCCAGCCAUCCCGCGUGUGCGAUGAAGGCCUUCGGAUUGUAAAGCACUUUUGGUUGGAAAGAAAGGUCGUGGGUUAAUACCUUGUUGUUCUGACGGUACCUGCCUAAUAAGCACCGGCUAACUACGUGCCAGCAACCGCGGUAAUACCAACGGUGCAAGCGUUUAUCGGAAUUACUGGGCGUAAAGCUCGCGCACGUGGUUCGGUAACAAAGAUGUUAAAUCCCCGAGCUUAACCUUGGAACUGCAUUUUUAACUGCGGGAGCUAUAAUGUGUCAGACUGUGGUGGAAAUUCAGGGUGGGCAGUUAAAUGCGUAGAUAUGGGAAGGAGACCAUUGGCGAAAGCGACCUCCUUGGAUGCCACUGACGCUGAUGUGCAAAGAGUGGGGAGAAAAACGAUGGGAGCACCCCGU
rnacentral:rRNA from 1 species